rnacentral:lncRNA from 1 species
CCCAGUUUUCAAGUUGGUCCAAAUCGGGGUCCAAAAUUAAACUUUGUUUGAUUUCAACAAAAAUUCAAUAUAUGGGGUUCUCAAUAUGCUGAAUCUAACCAUGUAUUUAGAUUUUUAAUAUUUAUGACCGGUUAUCAAAUUGGUCCACAUUGAGGUCUAAAGGGUUCAAAAUUGAACUUUUAUUAUUUGAUUUCAUCAAAAAUUGAAUUCUUGGGGUUCUUUGAUAUGAUGAAUCUAACCAUGUAUUUAGAUUUUGGAUAUUGGAAUACCACAAAGGGAUGGUAAGAAAUGUCUUUGGGAGUUAUGGCUCAAACCGUUAAGGAAUAAGGUGAAAAAAGGGGGGAAAGGGUUUCCAGGUUAAUGGACAGUUACUUAAGUACAAAACAUAAUUUGAAAGCAGUGUAAGGUUGGUAAUUGAAACUCAUUUUAAUAGCUCACCUAAACUGCUCUUAAAUUAUGUAUAUUGGAAAUUUGCCAAAAACUUUAGUUUAAUGAACUUCA